rnacentral:rRNA from 1 species
AUUGAACGCUGGCGGCAGGCCUAACACAUGCAAGUCGAACGGUAACAGGAAGCAGCUUGCUGCUUCGCUGACGAGUGGCGGACGGGUGAGUAAUGUCUGGGAAACUGCCUGAUGGAGGGGGAUAACUACUGGAACGGUAGCUAAUACCGCAUAACGUCGCAAGACCAAAGAGGGGGACCUUCGGGCCUCUUGCCAUCAGAUGUGCCCAGAUGGGAUUAGCUUGUUGGUGGGGUAACGGCUCACCAAGGCGACGAGUCCCUAGCUGGUCUGAGAGGAUGACCAGCCACACUGGAACUGAGACACGGUCCAGACUCCUACGGGAGGCAGCAGUGGGGAAUAUUGCACAAUGGGCGCAAGCCUGAUGCAGCCAUGCCGCCGUGUAUGAAGAAGGCCUUCGGGUUGUAAAGUACUUUCAGCGGGGAGGAAGGUGUUGUGGUUAAUAACCGCAGCAAUUGACGUUACCCGCAGAAGAAGCACCGGCUAACUCCGUGCCAGCCGCCGC